rnacentral:rRNA from 1 species
GUUUCGGCGGCCAUAGCGUGAGGGAAACGCCCGGUCACAUUCCGAACCCGGAAGCUAAGCCUCACAGCGCCGAUGGUACUGCAGGGGGGACCCUGUGGGAGAGUAGGACACCGCCGGACUC